AGCAGCUCACUGGGCAUAAAGCGUGCGCAGGCGGUUUUGUAAGACAGAGGUGAAAUCCCCGGGCUCAACCUGGGAACUGCCUUUGUGACUGUAAGGCUGGAGUGCGGCAGAGGGGGAUGGAAUUCCGCGUGUAGCAGUGAAAUGCGUAGAUAUGCGGAGGAACACCGAUGGCGAAGGCAAUCCCCUGGGCCUGCACUGACGCUCAUGCACGAAAGCGUGGGGAGCAAACA
rnacentral:rRNA from 1 species